GACGAACGCUGGCGGCGUGCUUAACACAUGCAAGUCGAACGAAGUGGCGCACGGGUGUGUAACGCGUAAUCAACCCGCCCUUCAGAGGGGGACAACAGUUGGAAACGACUGCUACUACCGCAUACUGAAGGAGGGGAUUGCGUCUGAUUAGCUAGUUGGCGGGGUACCGGCCCACAAAGGCGAAGAUCAGUAGCAGGUCUGUGAGGAUGAACGGCCACAUUGGGACUGAGGAAAGGCCCAGACGCCUGCGGGGAGCAGGAGGGGGGAAUCUUCCGCAAUGGGGGAAAGUCUGGCGGAACAACGCCGCGUGAGUGAUGGCGGCCUUCGGGUUGGAAAGCUCUGUUAAUCGGGACGCGGUACCGGAAGAGAAAGCCACGGCUAACUACGUGCCAGCAGCCGCGGUAAUAC
rnacentral:rRNA from 1 species